rnacentral:rRNA from 1 species
UAAGGAAUAUUGGGCAAUGGAGGCAACUCUGACCCAGCCAUCCCGCGUGAAGGAUUAAGGCCCUAUGGGUUGUAAACUUCUUUUGCUUGGGAAGAAAUCAGGACAUUUAUGUGCUGUUGACGGUACCUUGCGAAUAAGCACCGGCUAACUCCGUGCCAGCAGCCGCGGUAAUACGGAGGGUGCAAGCGUUAUCCGGAAUCACUGGGUUUAAAGGGUGCGUAGGCGGUUUGAUAAGUCAGAGGUGAAAGCUAGCAGCUUAACUGUUAAAUUGCGUUUGAGACUGGCAGACUUGAAUCAAGUUGAGGUAGGCGGAAUGUGACAUGUAGCGGUGAAAUGCAUAGAUAUGUCAUAGAACACCAAUUGCGUAGGCAGCUUGCUGGGCUUGAAUUGACGCUGAGGCACGAAAGCGUGGGGAUCAAACAGGA